UUGAACGCUGGCGGCAGGCCUAACACAUGCAAGUCGAAUGGUAACAGGAAGCAGCUUGCUGUUUCGCUGACGAGUGGCGGACGGGUGAGUAAUGUCUGGGAAACUGCCUGAUGGAGGGGGAUAACUACUGGAAACGGUAGCUAAUACCGCAUAACGUCGCAAGACCAAAGAGGGGGACCUUCGGGCCUCUUGCCAUCAGAUGUGCCCAGAUGGGAUUAGCUAGUAGGUGGGGUAACGGCUCACCUAGGCGACGAUCCCUAGCUGGUCUGAGAGGAUGACCAGCCACACUGGAACUGAGACACGGUCCAGACUCCUACGGGAGGCAGCAGUGGGGAAUAUUGCACAAUGGGCGCAAGCCUGAUGCAGCCAUGCCGCGUGUAUGAAGAAGGCCUUCGGGUUGUAAAGUACUUUCAGCGGGGAGGAAGGGAGUAAAGUUAAUACCUUUGCUCAUUGACGUUACCCACAGAAGAAGCACCGGCUAACUCCGUG
rnacentral:rRNA from 1 species